GUAGUGGAGAACAUCUGAAAAAGAUAGGCCUGGGCAUUCGGCAGGAACCGAGAAAACCGAACCGAAAGAACCGAGUUUUUCGGUUCUCGGUGCCGAGCCUGAGAAGAGCAAUGAACCGAUCGGCAAAAAAACUUAGGGAUUUCGGUUAUUGAUUCGGUUCGGUUCGGCAAGCCAUAACCGAACGGUUCUUCGGUUUUCUUCCAUCAUCUCCAUGAUUCCAUGACCCCUGAAGAAGAUCUCGUCGGAAACGAGGAUGAUGAGAUAUUUCAGCGUCGGCCAUGAUUAAAGAAGACGAUGGACUAGGGUUAGAUGUGUUUUGUUUGUGCAAUAUGGGCUUAUUUAAUAAAAAUAUAUGUUUGGAAAGUUAUUUGGGCCUCGCUUAAUAAUUGUUAUAGAGCCCAUUAGCCCACAACCUAUUAGAUAAAAGCCAAAACCCUAGUCUCUAUGCCUAAUGUUCUUCCAGUUGCAGCCGCAUCUAUUUCUAAGUAAGUUGUUUGAAACAGGUCUCAUCAUGCGGCGGCAAGAUCGAACGGCAAAACAUUACUGUCACCGUCUAGUUUGCAACCUCACCUACCGAAAAAUUUGGGCUUUGUAAUUUGUUUUGGGCAUGUAAAUUAGUUAAUUUGCUUGUAAACUUUUUUCGGUUAACCGAAUUAACCGGAAAAAAUAAGAAAUUCGGUUCAAUUCGGAAUCAAUUUUAUGGCA